rnacentral:rRNA from 1 species
UACGUAGGGGGCGAGCGUUGUUCGGAAUUACUGGGCGUAAAGGGCUCGUAGGCGGCCAACUAAGUCAGACGUGAAAUCCCCAGGCUCAACCUGGGAACUGCGUCUGAUACUGGAUGGCUUGAAUCCGGGAGAGGGAUGCAGAAUUCCAGGUGUAGCGGUGAAAUGCGUAGAUAUCUGGAGGAAUACCGGUGGCGAAGGCGGCAUCCUGGACCGGCAUUGACGCUGAGGAGCGAAAGCCAGGGGAGCAAACGGG